AUGUGAUUUGAAUUAUGAAAUAUCUAAAUUUUCUACAAAAUUUUUCUUUAAAUUAUGCUAAAGUAGCAUAAAUGUAAAUCUACAAUGCCUGAUUGAAUUUUAUAUUUGAAUAACCCCAGUUGGGUUUUUUUUUUAUUUUACCAUUAAUUUUGAAUGACCGGACAAAUAUAAUACCAGGAUAAAUACAGGAUGAAGGAGACUAAACAUUUUCCAUAAACUCAAGCAAAUUCAACCAAAUAUUUUGGAAUUCCAGUACAGUAUGAAAGUCAAAUUUCAAUUUACAAUUCGAAGUGGGGUAAGCAGAACACUUGUUUUACAAUUCGGCUUCUAAUUCAACCAAGUCCAUCGAAUUUUAUGAGUUUCAAACUUCGUUAAUCGUCGCUUAUCUACGAUUCCACAUCACACUGAAGCUUCAGUUGUAGGCCUACCGGGUUACUAACAUAGAUUUAAUAAUCAAAACUUGUAAACUGAAUAUUUUGUAACUUCAGAAAUGAAAUUGAUUUUUAAUGUUGAAAAUAUAAGAUUCAAUC
rnacentral:lncRNA from 1 species